rnacentral:rRNA from 1 species
UGGGGAAUCUUGCGCAAUGGGCGAAAGCCUGACGCAGCGACGCCGCGUGCGGGAAGAAGGCCUUCGGGUUGUAAACCGCUUUCAGGAGGGACGAAGCCACUCGGGUGAAUAGCCCAGAGGGUGACGGUACCUCCAGAAGAAGCCCCGGCUAACUACGUGCCAGCAGCCGCGGUAAUACGUAGGGGGCCAGCGUUGUCCGGAUUCAUUGGGCGUAAAGAGCGUGUAGGCGGCCAGGUAGGUCCGACGUGAAAACUGGAGGCUCAACCUCCAGCUGUCGUCGGAAACCCUCUGGCUAGAGUCCGGAAGAGGAGAGCGGAAUUCCUGGUGUAGCGGUGAAAUGCGCAGAUAUCAGGAAGAACACCGAUGGCGAAGGCAGCUCUCUGGGACGGUACUGACGCUGAGACGCGAAAGCGUGGGGAGCGAACAGGAUUAGAUACCCUGGUAGUCCACGCCGUAAACGAUGGGCGCUAGGUGUGGGCGGUGUCGACUCCGUCCGUGCCGCA